AAGAGUCAAUUCUCUCGCACCUAAAACAUGUGUGAGUUCUUGUUUUCGAAAUUUAUUAUAAUUUGGGCGCCACGAGUGUACGAUCAACAGGUCAAAGGACAAUAUGAACUUUUACCAUUUACUGUUGGCUGGAAUUGCAUACCUGUUAGCAGUGUGUGUGGCCUUGCCUAUGAGAAGCCAAGAUGAUGUCCAAAAUGUUCCUGUCAUUAGAGCACAAGGUGUCAUGAAUCGUCAGCUUAAGUUAGCAGUUCAUCACUUGAUGAUAACGGCGAAGAAGUCGUAAUGAUGCAAAAUGGGGUCAGGCUUGCAGUGAAUGGGAAUCGUGGUAAGAGUAUUGACAAGUGAUGAUAUCAUAUCCUUGAAAUUUUAAGAUGUUUAAUCAACUAUAUAUUGACAUUAUUUACUUAUUUGUGCUUAAAGAACAAAGUUUUCAACUGUUUGAAUGCUAAUUUUUUUCUCAAUCAUUAUUGGAUCAUUUUAUAUCUGGAGUUAAGGACGCGUUGCAUUUAAACGUGGUUUCCAGGGCACUCUCUUUCUCGGCCCCAGAAUAAGCGAAUUUUUGCUCGCGGUAAAUUCGUCACCGAUCAGAUUAGCAAUUACCUAUGGAUCUGAAUUAAUUCGUUUUGGCAAUUUUCGUGAGAUCACGAGAGACACUAGCUACCUUUUGGGCCUUAAUCAACUCCUGGCUUAUUCUUGAGUUCUUUAUUCCUCUAG